CGGACCUGCGGCUCCGCCGGCAUCGUGCUGCGAGCGGCCCCCGCUCUGUGCCGUGCCGGCCGUGCCGCGUCCCCGCCGCCUCUGCCGCUCCCUCUUUCUGCCCCUGGCCCGCGACAGCGAGGCGGGGCGGGAGCUUCGAGCCUUCUGGGGGCUGUCCCCCCUUCCUUGUUGCGGCGGAGUCCCUUUCUGGGGGAUGGAGGAACGAACCAAGCGAGUGCCCUGAAACCAGCGAAGCAGCUGCAAGGGCUGAAGGGAACAGAAAGGGCUCCCGGCACCUUUUGCCUCCGUUCUCUGCCAUUCUCCAAAAGGCGUCACAGUCCUGGAAGAGGUGUUUGUCAUGCAGCCUGCCAAAAUAAAGACCUGUAAAAUCCUA